rnacentral:rRNA from 1 species
AAAGCUCGUUGGUGACAGCGGAGGGAUCAUUACAGAGUUGAAAAACUCCCUAAACCAUCGCGAACGUUACCCUUAACCGUUGCUUCGGCGGGCGGUCCACAAGACCCCCUUGGCCCCCCUUUCGCGGGGGGGGCGCCCGCCGGAGGUCACGUUUUAAACUCUUGAUACCUGUACGGCCUCUCUGAGUAUUCUGUACUGAAUUAAGUCAAAACUUUCAACAACGGAUCUCUUGGUUCUGGCAUCGAUGAAGAACGCAGCGAAAUGCGAUAAGUAAUGUGAAUUGCAGAAUUCAGUGAAUCAUCGAAUCUUUGAACGCACAUUGCGCCCAUUAGUAUUCUAGUGGGCAUGCCUGUUCGAGCGUCAUUUCAACCCUCAAGCCCUAGUUGCUUGGUGUUGGGAGCUUAUCCUGUCGGAAGGCGGGACAACUCCUUAAAAUUAUUGGCGGAGUCGCGGUGACCCCAAGCGCAGUAAUUCCUUUUCUCGCUUUAGGUGUUAACGCUGGCCUCUAGCCAUUAAACCUCUCUAUUUUCUCAAAUGGUUGACCUCGGAUCAGGUAGGACUACCCGCUGAACUUAAGCAUAUCAAUAAGCGGAGGA